GUCCGCGUAGCGCAGAGGUUAGCGCGCCGCUCUUAUACCUUCACGCUGAGUGUUGAGUAUGACUUCGCUAUGCGGAGGCCGUGAGUUCGAUCCUCACCGUGGACA